rnacentral:lncRNA from 1 species
UCGGUUUGGAGUGCUAUAAGCACUACCCUAUGUACCUCCCCGGAUUUGGAACUUGGAUACGGAGACUUGAGAUACUUGGAAUUGUCUGAACCCGGGGCAUCCUUGACGGGAUGUUGCUGUAGACCCUUGAUUGGGUAGUCUGCGCGCGUAUGACUGAUCACAGAUGUACGGGUUUUGAGGUUAUCGACGGUACGUGCUGGCUGAGAGUUGGUCCCCCAGUUGGACGGCUCGUUCCUUAGUCACAUGGUAGAUUGAGGACUCUUCAUGAGGACUCUGCCAGGGUGACUAGUCAAAC